rnacentral:rRNA from 1 species
ACGGGUGAGUAACGCGUGGGUAACCUGCCCUGUACACACGGAUAACAUACCGAAAGGUAUGCUAAUACGAGAUAAUAUACUUUUAUCGCAUGGUAGAAAUAUCAAAGCUUUUGCGGUACAGGAUGGACCCGCGUCUGAUUAGCUAGUUGGUAAGGUAACGGCUUACCAAGGCGACGAUCAGUAGCCGACCUGAGAGGGUGAUCGGCCACAUUGGAACUGAGACACGGUCCAAACUCCUACGGGAGGCAGCAGUGGGGAAUAUUGCACAAUGGGCGAAAGCCUGAUGCAGCAACGCCGCGUGAGCGAUGAAGGCCUUCGGGUCGUAAAGCUCUGUCCUCAAGGAAGAUAAUGACGGUACUUGAGGAGGAAGCCCCGGCUAACUACGUGCCAGCAGCCGCGGUAAUACGUAGGGGGCUAGCGUUAUCCGGAAUUACUGGGCGUAAAGGGUACGUAGGUGGUUUCUUAAGUCAGAGGUGAAAGGCUACGGCUCAACCGUAGUAAGCCUUUGAAACUGGGAAACUUGAGUGCAGGAGAGGAGAGUGGAAUUCCUAGUGUAGCGGUGAAAUGCGUAGAUAUUAGGAGGAACACCAGUUGCGA